rnacentral:rRNA from 1 species
UACGAAGGGUGCAAGCGUUACUCGGAAUUACUGGGCGUAAAGCGUGCGUAGGUGGUUUGUUAAGUCUGAUGUGAAAGCCCUGGGCUCAACCUGGGAAUUGCAUUGGAUACUGGCAGGCUAGAGUGCGGUAGAGGAUGGCGGAAUUCCCGGGGUAGCAGUGAAAUGCGUAGAGAUCGGGAGGAACAUCCGUGGCGAAGGCGGCCAUCUGGACCAGCACUGACACUGAGGCACGAAAGCGUGGGGAGCAAACAGG